rnacentral:lncRNA from 1 species
UUGCCUUAUGAGAACUUUAGAAAAGAGAAGUUGCAAAUUGCUCUAUAAUAAAAAAAAUUGAGUUUAUCACUUGAUUUUGAUGGGUGAUCCCUCGAUAAACCACUCCAACUAAAUUCAUCGACUCCAAUUUUCUCUCUCAAUCUUAAAAUAGACUUCAGAUCACUUCUCGGUCAAAAAAAAAAAAAAAGGAAUUCGACUCCAUUUUUCUUCUCAUCAAACCAAAAUUCUUAGAUUCAGUCAUAGUAUCUCAUUCUAACUUGGGAGCCAAAAAAAGCAGAAAGACUUGAAACAAUUCUUUUGUCUCUUACCAAACACUUGUUUUG